UAUUAGGAAGGUGAUUUUAUUGUUGUGGCUGGCCUGUGUAUACAAUCAACAUGUGUCAAUAGGCAUUAAAUACAGUUUCAUGUGGAAAACUAUUUCUCUUAAUGGUCUCAUUUCUUUCAUUUGAAAACAACAAAACAAACUGGAAUACAUUUCUGAACUUUCAUAACCAAAUCAAAUAUGUGCUUUUUCUGGCCUUUCUCUGCAUUUCAUACAUACCGUGCCCAAAUACCAGAAGUCAGUGAAGUAAAAAGAAGACGUGUGAGCUGGUCUGUAGUAAGCUUUGUCUUUAUUAGUUAUGCUUGAACACUACAUUCCCAGCUGAUUAUUACGUUGUUACUGUAAUUAUUAUUUUCAGAUUCAAAACAUAGUGUUCUAAACUUUCAGGUGGGACAACAACACAGAAAUAUAGAAUAAUAAUAAAAUAUGUCUGUAAUAAAAUUCAGUUCAAGUUCAAAGUAAUAUAACUCAAACUGAGUAACUACCAGAUUCCUCCCACUGUCUAAAGACAUGCAUGGUAGGUUAAUUGGUGAUUUUAAAUUGGCCAUAGGUGUGAGUGUGUAUAGUUGUCGGGGUCUUUGUGUUAGCACAGCAUUGUCCAGGGUGUCCACCUCUUCAUCAGUCAGCUUUUAUAUUUAUUACUGUAGAUGUUAAUGAACUUAUCAGUAAAAACGUCUACAUCGUGUAUUUCAAGUGUCCAAAUUCCUUCAGCUUUUUCUUUUUUUUUUUUUUUAUUGUUAAAAGCUCCUUUUAUAAAGUAUUAAACUUGUCAUCAAUUUACACAGUGAGCUCCUGAUAAACAGUAAGUUUCUAAUGGACUGAAUCUGUGCCUGAGUGUGAUACCCAAAACCCUCCCCAAAAACGCAAUAAUUGAAUUUUAUUAAGCUUUUGUCAUCUGUAGAAGCUAUACAGUGCUGUGGAGUAUUUGCCCCCCUACAGAAAUCUUCUAUUUUUGCCUAUUUUUCACACUUAAAUGUUUCAGAUCAUCAAACAAAAUUUAAUGUAAAACUAAGAUAACCCAAGAAAACACAAAAUGCACGUCUCAAAUUAUGAUUUUAUUUACUGAAGAAAAAAUGCUGUCCAGCCCAUUUUGCCCUACGUGAAAAAGUAAUUGCGCCCUUAGCUAUAAAUCUACCAAAUGACCAAAUGAAUUUGGUAACUGGGUUCAGUUUCUCCAGCCACACCCACAUAUGAUUACUGUCAGGCUUGUUGAAUCUGAACAUAAUUAAAUAGAACCUGUCUGACACUGUGAAGUAGCUAAAGGGUGUGAAAAAGCAGCACAUGAUGCCACGUUCUGAAGAGAUUCAAGAACAGAUGAGAAACAAAGUCACUGACAUUUAUCAGUCAUUGCUGAGGCUCUGAGACUCCAGAGAACCACAGUGAGAGACAUUAUCCACAAAUGGAGAAAACACGGAAGAGAGGUGAACAUUCCCAUUAGUGACUGGCCUGACCAACAUUUCUCCAAGAGCGUGUCAAUAUCUAACCCAUGUUUAGGUCACAAAAGAACCCAGGCAAACGUCAAAAGAUCUGCAGGCCUCACUGGUCUCAGUUAAGGUCCGUCUGCAUCAUUCCACAAUAAGGAAGACUCUGGGUGAAGAUGGCGUCCAUGGGAGAGGCACAAACCACUGCUGACCAAAAAGAACAUAAAGGUCCGUCCGGCGUUUGCAAAAAUAUAUCUAGAUGAGCCAUUAGACUUUUGGAAUAACAUCCUGUGGACUUGAUGAAUCACAGGUGGAACUUUUUGAAAGACAUGGGUCCCGUUAAUCUGGUGCAAAGCUAAAACUACUUUCCACAAGAAGCACAUGAUGGUGAAACAUGUUGGUGGUAGUGGUGUGAUGGUUUGGAGCUGCUUUUCUUCCACAGGAACUGGGCGACGUGUUGUAAUUGAUGGAGCCGUGAAUUCUGCUCUCUGUCAGAAAAUCUUCCUGGAGAAAUAGCCACCAUCAGUUCAUGACCUACCUAAGCUAUCGCCAAGUUGCCAAGGGUGGCCCAAGCAUUUAUUAGGUUUAGGUGGACGUUUGUUUUUUCACAGGGGGGCUGAUAUGAGUUUUCAGUAAAUCUUUAAUAAAUUAUCGUUUAAAAACUGCAUUUUGUAAUUUGUGCACUAUCUCUGUCGAAUAUUAAAUAUGCAUAUUUUUGUCAUCUGGACAAUUUAAGUGUGAGAAAUAUGCAAAAAUCAAAGGUUUCUGCUUUUUCACGGCACUGUAUAUACUGCAUAACACUGGAAUGAUUUCCAAGAGGUGUUCCCACCAGAUGGCCACGACUAUGAAACCACUGGUGGUUACUGUAAGGGGAACUGUCUGCUUAUGCUAAACAAGAUUUUCUACUGGGACUGUUUGGCUUCUGACUCAACAGAUAUGCGCAAGCAAGCCCUGCUUUUAUGGUUUCAAUAUGAGAAUUCUGUGGGGGUAAGGGCAACAACAGUUGAAUUGGGCAUAAAUGAAAGUGUAACCGCUGUAUGUGUUAUGACAUUACAAUAGGUAGCUGAAAAUACAAAUGAGUUUGAUUUAGUUGUUGCUUAGUUGCAGCCCCUGUGUUAAAUGAUCCAUCAGUCAAUUUCCAUUCAUAGAUAUAUUUCACAUUUGUGAGACACUUAGUUUUUGUGAAUCUCAUGUUAGAGAAUAGUCUGUGGUUUCUUUUCAAACAUUGUGCAGCACUGCACAUAAAGAUAAGGUGAUUAAGGUAAAUAAAAUGUUUUUUUAGAAGCCACUUGGUAAAUGCUAUCUCUUAACAUGUACAUGUAGUGUUGUACUUAUUCUACAUUUAAUAUAACAUUACAAUCAUUUCUUUUCUUGAGAUUGCAAGUUCACAUUUCUUACUUUUCACUCUUUUUUACUAGUAAUGCUGGUUGGAUAAACAGUUAAGGAGAAGAAUGAAAACAGUCAGUGUGGUACAGUAAGUGUGGUGUCCUCUGCAGGUUUUGAAACAACACCAUUCAUCAUGUCCAUGUCUUUUUCCUUGACCAGGCAUAGUAACCACAAGCGGACAGAAUAACACUUUCUCACAGGUCCAGAUUAGCAGUGGCAGGGUCAUCAAUAACUGUAAAAAAAUGAAAGAAAAGAAAAGUCAGAUAAAUCUUAUUCUACUCUGUGUGUUAUGAUCAGUGUAACACUAAGUAUAAGGCAGGUGAAAUGACAUGGAAACUGUUUCUUUGUGCCAAACACGUGUUAACAUUCCAGUCUGCAAAGAUUUUUAGUCAUUACACCUUCCUAACAGGUGAAACUAUUCAUACAACUACCUGUGAACUCCAAAAUUCCAACUGUGAGAUUCUUGUCAAGGCAUCACUUGGUAUGAGGAUAUUAUCUGUUUACCAGAACAUGCAUAAAACACUACAUGCCAGUCAACAAGUUUUGCACGUUCACCUACAAGUAGGAGGGAAAGUAUGUGUUUUUCUUGAAUUUAGUCUGGAGAAUCUACCUUGUUUACCCCACAGCACAUUUCAUACAUCUGGAUUUUAACUUUAUCAUCUGUUGUUGAACAAUGUGACAGGAUUAGGUUUGGUUGUACUUUUACAAACUGUCAGAAGCAGUUUAGUAUCUGCUUUUAAAAUGUUUUCACAACUUUAUGACAUUAUGUCCAAUUCUCUACACAUACCACUGCCAGAUAUCAUCAGAUUUAGGGUGCUUAUGCAAGUGUUCAUCAUCCUUGAAAGUUGUAAGCUUUAACUAUCAACAAAGUUUCGUUGCAGAAAUGUAAUGACAAUAAACAUCCUUGAAUCCUUGAAUCUUUUCAACAUUUAAUCAUACUCAAUGUAAUUAGAAUAUUUGUCCAGAAAUUACAAAAAAAAAUCUAUAUGUAUAUCUUUAAAAUAAGAUAAAAUGGAUGAUAAGUGAUUGCAUACGUAUCCUCCCCCCUUGAAAGCGACUCAUCAAUUUCAACACAAUUGCAGCCAAUUGGUGCUAGAAGUCACAGUUAUUGAAAUGAAGCUAAUCUGAGUGCGGUGAAUGCAUCCUAAGUGACUGUAGUAUAAAGACACCUGUAUCUGAAAUGUCAAGUUGCUGGAUACUCCUGGAUAUAACUACACCCUGAUGACAUAAGAACACUCCAAGCAACUCUUUGAAAAGGUUAUUGAAAAGCAUAAGUCAGAGGAUAGUUACAAAAAAAAAUAAUUCAAAGACAAUAUCCCUUGGAGUACAGUUAGAUCUGUCAUUAGGAAAUAGAAGGAAUAUGAUAAAUGCAUAAUUCUGCCUAUAACAGGUUGUCUUCUAAAACUGAGUGACCGUAUAAGACAGAGACUAGUGGGGGAGGCCACCACGACACCUAUGACUCCUCUUAAGGAGUUACAGUCAUCUGAGAUGCAUUCAUUGCAUUCAAAUGAUCUAACUUUCAAUAACUGGGACUUCUAGCACCAGUUGCCUACACUUGUGUUGAAUUAGUCACUUUAAUAGGGGUGACUAAUGAUGUAAUCACUUAUUUUACAUUUUAUAUAUUUAAAUAAUUGACAUUGCUGUGUAGUAAUCUGAUUUCACUUUGACAUGAAAGAGACAAAAGCCAAAUUGACUUGAAUAUGAUUCAGUGUUUAAAAGCAAUAAAAGGGGAAAACACUGAGGGUCUGUGAUACGUUUUCUAGGCACUAUAUGUGCCUUUCUAUACCAGCAUGGAAAAUCACAGCAAGCUGUAAAUAUUCCUACAGUCCAACCUUCAGCCACACACCACACAGUUAUGCAUACAAUGUAUAGGUCUAAUAGAAUACUGGGACAAAAAAACUAAAACGUCAAUCGUUGGUGGGAACGUACACAAUGUAUUCAAAGUUAGACAAGGAUAGCAUUGUAAAGGUUGGCGUUAGUCACCUUGUCAUACACCUUGUCAGUUAUCAAAGUCUACAGUUAAACCUGUUCUCCAAGACAUUGUUUGACCAAAUUCUGGCCUUUCUCUGUACACAAAACAUCACACUCCUGAACAAAAUGUGAAGCUGCUGACAACCCUGUGCAUUGUGUGCAGACUUAAACUUGUAACUUUUAUUUGCUUGCCAUUGUAAAACAUCAAAUUAUCAGUCAAAGUCUGAUGACACAGCCUACAUUGUGUAAAAAGACGUAUUUGUCUUGUUUAG
ensembl:lncRNA